CCCGCAGUGAUCUCAUGCCCACCUCCAGUCUGCCUGCACUCCUCCACCAUUUGGUGAUGAGCUGCCCUGCUAGGGGACACUUCCUCCAUGACGCCGAUGUUGCCAGGAUAUCACUCUGUUCCUAUACUCCUUAGCCAGCACGAUUGCAUUGGCCAGAGAGUUACCAUAGCAACCACAGCACAUGCACUGUGGUUACCAUGGGAGGAGAGCAGAGGAAUCUGCUGUUGGAGGUCUCCAC